AUCCCUUUUAUUGAUGGGGCUGAUUUUUCUAUUCGGCUGCCUUUGAUUUCAUAACAAGCGAGGGCGAUGCAGACUAGCUUUGAUUGAGAUUAUAACUUACUC
rnacentral:rRNA from 1 species